rnacentral:rRNA from 1 species
UACGUAGGGACCAAGCGUUGUUCGGAUUUACUGGGCGUAAAGGGCGCGUAGGCGGCAAUUCAAGUCAUCUGUGAAAUCUCCGGGCUUAACCCGGAACGGUCAGAUGAUACUGCUUUGCUAGAGUGCGGAAGGGGCAAUCGGAAUUCUUGGUGUAGCGGUGAAAUGCGUAGAUAUCAAGAGGAACACCUGAGGUGAAGACGGGUUGCUGGGCCGACACUGACGCUGACAGCGCGAAAGCGUGGGGAGCAAACAGG